UUUGCCUUUAGUUAGUUUCCGG
rnacentral:miRNA from 1 species